rnacentral:rRNA from 1 species
UACGGAAGGUCCGGGCGUUAUCCGGAUUUAUUGGGUUUAAAGGGAGCGUAGGCCGGAGAUUAAGUGUGUUGUGAAAUGUAGACGCUCAACGUCUGACUUGCAGCGCAUACUGGUUUCCUUGAGUACGCACAACGUUGGCGGAAUUCGUCGUGUAGCGGUGAAAUGCUUAGAUAUGACGAAGAACUCCGAUUGCGAAGGCAGCUGACGGGAGCGCAACUGACGCUUAAGCUCGAAGGUGCGGGUAUCAAACAGGAUUAGAUACCCGUGUAGUCC